GAUGAACGCUAGCUACAGGCUUAACACAUGCAAGUCGAGGGGCAGCAUGACCUAGCAAUAGGUUGAUGGCGACCGGCGCACGGGUGAGUAACACGUAUCCAACCUGCCGAUUAUUCCGGGAUAGCCUUUCGAAAGAAAGAUUAAUACUGGAUAGCAUAACGAGAAGGCAUCUUCUUGUUAUUAAAGAAUUUCGAUAAUCGAUGGGGAUGCGUUCCAUUAUUUUGUUGGCGGGGUAACGGCCCACCAAGACAUCGAUGGAUAGGGGUUCUGAGAGGAAGGUCCCCCACAUUGGAACUGAGACACGGUCCAAACUCCUACGGGAGGCAGCAGUGAGGAAUAUUGGUCAAUGGACGAGAGUCUGAACCAGCCAAGUAGCGUGAAGUAUGACUGCCCUAUGGGUUGUAAACUUCUUUUAUAGUGGAAUAAAGUGGGCCACGUGUGGCUUUUUGUAUGUACCAUACGAAUAAGGAUCGGCUAACUCCGUG
rnacentral:rRNA from 1 species